rnacentral:rRNA from 2 species
CGCAAGACCAAAGAGGGGGACCUUCGGGCCUCUUGCCAUCGGAUGUGCCCAGAUGGGAUUAGCUAGUAGGUGGGGUAACGGCUCACCUAGGCGACGAUCCCUAGCUGGUCUGAGAGGAUGACCAGCCACACUGGAACUGAGACACGGUCCAGACUCCUACGGGAGGCAGCAGUGGGGAAUAUUGCACAAUGGGCGCAAGCCUGAUGCAGCCAUGCCGCGUGUAUGAAGAAGGCCUUCGGGUUGUAAAGUACUUUCAGCGGGGAGGAAGGGAGUAAAGUUAAUACCUUUGCUCAUUGACGUUACCCGCAGAAGAAGCACCGGCUAACUCCGUGCCAGCAGCCGCGGUAAUACGGAGGGUGCAAGCGUUAAUCGGAAUUACUGGGCGUAAAGCGCACGCAGGCGGUUUGUUAAGUCAGAUGUGAAAUCCCCGGGCUCAACCUGGGAACUGCAUCUGAUACUGGCAAGCUUGAGUCUCGUAGAGGGGGGUAGAAUUCCAGGUGUAGCGGUGAAAUGCGUAGAGAUCUGGAGGAAUACCGGUGGCGAAGGCGGCCCCCUGGACGAAGACUGACGCUCAGGUGCGAAAGCGUGGGGAGCAAACAGGAUU